rnacentral:lncRNA from 1 species
GGAGCAGCCCGGGGGAGGGGGCAGGCUUAGCCAGCCCUUGGAGGCUCAGAGCAGCUGGCCCAGGCUCCAGCUCGCCUCCAGUGGAAGCCCGAGCGCUGUCAGAAACAACCCUGGCCAAUGUCACCGCAGAGCCGAGGCGGUGUUGUCAGGGCUAAUGUGAAAUCUCUUCCCGUGGCGCUGAUCCUCCGACUCUGCAGCACCAGCUUGGACAGACUGAGGUCUCUGUGGCUUUGCUGACUCUGCUUAAGCAUUCCCACCGGGUCCCAGCUCUGCUCUAGGACUGCCUCCCACUGCGGCCCCUCACCUGACCUCAGGGCAUGGGGAGGGAGGGAGCCAGUUCCCCAAGGCCAGGGGACUUUGCUCCUGAGAGAUGUCAGACUUCCUGGAGGCAUCAGGCUUUGAGUUCUGCUGGGGUCCAGCUGACCUGGCACCAGGUGUCGCACAGAGAUGUGCCUCAUUCUGUGCCUCCUGCCGUGUUCACUUUAACUGUGCCUCAGUGUGGGUUAGGGAAUAAUUUUGUCAUUGUAUUAAGUUUAUCCAGUUAAUUAACUUGAGGAACUAACCAAUUUUUACCUUCUGUCUAGAAUGAUGUACAUGUAGUAGAGUAAGCCAUAAUGCUCCCAAAGUGCCUUGUUUUCUCUGAUACAAACGUAUUUAUAAGGACGUAUUCCAGUGGGUUCUUGGGUGUGUUUGCCACAACAAGAUUUUAGGGAAGGGGUGUAUGUGUAGUAGGGAUGCCGUUUGAAAACAGGCCCUCUUCCCCUGAGGAAGGGAAAGGAACUCUUCAGUUGGAGAUCUGGGCAGUGGGUUAAGCCAGACCCCUAAAGUGACCCUUUCCUCUUCUGCCCUAUUCUUCUCAGACCCUCCGAAAGACAUCCAAUUUUUUUAAAGCCCUGUAGCUCCAAGCCUGGUCUCAUUUGCUUCCCUGCCAGGCUCAUUGUGUGUAUACCACAUUUGUGCCCCACUGACCUGAAGGUUCCAUGUAACUGUAUACACAUGAAUACUUAAAUGCCAACAUUUUAAAUAAUUUGAUAAAGUCUUUGUAGCCACAAAAAAAAAAAAAACGUAAAGGAAUAAAGAAUGGCUACUUCAUGGGUAAGAGCAGUGGCAUGGGCUGCUCGACUGAGUAUAUUUAUAGUUAUUUCUUGAUUAUAUGCUGUAUUAAUCCGUUUUCACACUGCUAUAAAAGAACUUCCCUGAGACUGGGUGAUUUAUAAAGGAAAGAGGUUUAAUUGACUCAGUUUUGCGUGGCUGGAGAGGCCUCAGGAAAUGUAUAAUUAUGGCAGAAGGGGAAGCAGGCACCUUCUUCACAAGAUGGCAUGGGAGAAAAGAGCAGGGGAAACCGUCACUUAUAGAACCAUCAGAUCCUGUGAGAACUCACUCACUACCACGAGAACAGCAUGGGGGAAACUGCCCCCAUGAUCCUGUCACCUCCCACCAGGUCCCUCCCUUGACAGGUGGGAAUUAUGGGGAUUACAAUUAGAGAUAAAAUUUGGGUGGGGACACAGAGCCAAACCAUAUCAUAUGCUAAACAACGGGUGGAUUAUUCAUGAGUUUUCUGGGAAAGGGGUGGGGAUUUCCCAGAACUGAGGGGUCCUCCUCUUUUUAGACCAUAUAGGGUA